rnacentral:rRNA from 1 species
AUGGGCAAAGCUGAUCCAUCAAUACGCGUGUGUGAAGAAGGCCUGAGGGUUGUAAGCACUUUCAAUAGGAAGGAAUACCUAUCGGUUAAUACCCGGUAGACUGACAUUACCUAUACAAGAAGCACCGGCUAACUCCGUGCCAGCAGCCGCGGUAAUACGGAGGGUGCAAGCGUUAAUCGGAAUUACUGGGCGUAAAGCGUGCGUAGGCGGUUAUUUAAGUCAGAUGUGAAAGCCCUGGGCUUAACCUGGGAACUGCAUUUGAUACUGGAUGACUAGAGUUGAGUAGAGGAGAGUGGAAUUUCAGGUGUAGCGGUGAAAUGCGUAGAGAUCUGAAGGAACACCAGUGGCGAAGGCGGCUCUCUGGACUCAAACUGACGCUGAGGUACGAAAGCGUGGGUAGCAAACAGGAUUAGAUACCCUGGUAGUCCACGCCGUAAACGAUGUCAACUAACCGUUGGGUUCUUUAAGAACUUAGUGGUGGAGCUAACGUAUUAAGUUGACCGCCUGGGGAGUACGGCCGCAAGGCUAAAACUCAAAUGAAUUGACGGGGGCCCGCACAAGCGGUGGAGCAUGUGGUUUAAUUCGAUGCAACGCGAAGAACCUUACCUAC